GAUGAACGCUGGCGGCGUGCCUAAUACAUGCAAGUCGAGCGAACAGACGCGGAGCUUGCUCCUCUGACGUUAGCGGCGGACGGGUGAGUAACACGUGGAUAACCUACCUAUAAGACUGGGAUAACUUCGGGAAACCGGAGCUAAUACCGGAUAAUAUAUUGAACCGCAUGGUUCAAUAGUGAAAGACGGCUUUGCUGUCACUUAUAGAUGGAUCCGCGCCGCAUUAGCUAGUUGGUAGGGUAACGGCUUACCAAGGCGACGAUGCGUAGCCGACCUGAGAGGGUGAUCGGCCACACUGGAACUGAGACACGGUCCAGACUCCUACGGGAGGCAGCAGUAGGGAAUCUUCCGCAAUGGGCGAAAGCCUGACGGAGCAACGCCGCGUGAGUGAUGAAGGUCUUCGGAUCGUAAAACUCUGUUAUUAGGGAAGAACAAAUGUGUAAGUAACUAUGCACGUCUUGACGGUACCUAAUCAGAAAGCCACGGCUAACUACGUG
rnacentral:rRNA from 1 species